AUACUUACCUGGAAGGGGAAAUAUUAUGAUCACGAAAAUGAUUUUCCCAGGGUGAGGCUUGUCCAUUGCACUCUGGAUGUGCCGACCUCUGUGACUUCCCCAAGCAUGAGGAACUCAACUCUAUAACUUGUGGCAGAGGGGGACUGUGUUCAAGCUUUCUCCUG